rnacentral:rRNA from 1 species
UACGGAGGGGACUAGCGUUGUUCGGAAUUACUGGGCGUAAAGCGCACGUAGGCGGCUUUGCAAGUUAGAGGUGAAAGCCCGGAGCUCAACUCCGGAAUUGCCUUUAAAACUGCAUCGCUAGAAUUGUGGAGAGGUAAGUGGAAUUCCGAGUGUAGAGGUGAAAUUCGUAGAUAUUCGGAAGAACACCAGUGGCGAAGGCGACUUACUGGACACAUAUUGACGCUGAGGUGCGAAAGCGUGGGGAGCAAACAGG